UUUUUCCGCUAAAUUUAGCGGGGAAAUUCCGCUAGAUCUAGUGGGAGUUUUUCCGCUAAAUUUAGCGGGGAAA
rnacentral:pre_miRNA from 1 species